rnacentral:lncRNA from 1 species
UGCUUUCAAUGUUCCAAGCAUUUUGUUUGUCUCUUUGGUGAACUCCUUUCCUUUGCAUUCCCCUCCCUACGUGACCAACAAAGUCCCACUAUUUAUGCUUGUUGAUUAUUUAAUAUUCCCAGAGUAGUAAUAGGAGUAGAAAAAUUAGAAUGUUUUUAAGGUGGCUUGGAAGACAUCACAAUUGCUAAUUAUGACAAGCCAAAUGAGGAGUUGUCAUGAGACUUAAGCUGAGGAUUCACCAAGCUUAAAACUAUCCAGGUUGAUAUGAUUACUGUCCAGAGGGCUUGACAUUUACAAUAAAAAAGCAGAGGAAGCUAGACCUGGAAGCAAGAGAGACAGGACAUGGGAAAAAGAACAAAGCAGGGAAGAGGAAAUACUACUUCUAUUAAAAAGAAACAAUAGAGGCUACUUACCGACCCAGUGCCACCUGGUUUCGACGAACACAGCUGGGAUAUGUGAGCGAGCAGAUGGAUAUUCAGUGAAUAAUAAUGUGCCUACAACAGCAGGAUCAAAACCAAAAGAAAAGUAUUGGUGA